UGGGGAAUAUUGGACAAUGGGCGCAAGCCUGAUCCAGCCAUGCCGCGUGAGUGAUGAAGGCCCUAGGGUUGUAAAGCUCUUUUCGCCAGGGGACGAUAAUGACGGUACCUGGAUAAGAAGCCCCGGCUAACUUCGUGCCAGCAGCCGCGGUAAUACGAAGGGGGCUAGCGUUGUUCGGAAUCACUGGGCGUAAAGCGCACGUAGGCGGAUCUUUAAGUCAGGGGUGAAAUCCCGAGGCUCAACCUCGGAACUGCCUUUGAUACUGGAGGUCUCGAGUUCGGGAGAGGUGAGUGGAACUGCGAGUGUAGAGGUGAAAUUCGUAGAUAUUCGCAAGAACACCAGUGGCGAAGGCGGCUCACUGGCCCGAUACUGACGCUGAGGUGCGAAAGCGUGGGGGAGCAAAACAGGAUUUAGAUACCCUGGUAGUCCACGCCGUAAACGAUGGAUGCUAGCCGUUGGGGGAGCUUGCUCUUCAGUGGCGCAGCUAACGCUUUAAGCAUCCCGCCU
rnacentral:rRNA from 1 species